GGUGUGAGGAAUCCUUGUGCGUGAGGUGAAGGUCCAUAUCCUUCCGAGAGAAAAAGAAAGAAAAGAAAGAAAAAAAGAUGCGCAGGGUUUUAGUAAGUUCCCCAGGGUUUCAGCCUAGGGUUCGGGAAGUGAGAAGGUGAGCUACGAGUGUCGUGAGCCCACCAAAUUUUAGAGAGAUCUUCAUCAUCCUCUCAAGCAUAUCUAC
rnacentral:lncRNA from 1 species